AGAGUUUGAUCCUGGCUCAGGAUGAACGCUAGCUACAGGCUUAACACAUGCAAGUCGAGGGGCAGCAUGGUCUUAGCUUGCUAAGGCUGAUGGCGACCGGCGCACGGGUGAGUAACGCGUAUCCAACCUUCCCCAUAGUAGGGGAUAGCCCGGCGAAAGUCGGAUUAAUACCCUAUGUUAUUCGAUGCAGACAUCUAAGUUGAAUCAAAGGUUUACCGCUAUGGGAUGGGGAUGCGUCUGAUUAGGUUGCAGGCGGGGUAACGGCCCACCUGGCCCACGAUCAGUAGGGGUUCUGAGAGGAAGGUCCCCCACAUUGGAACUGAGACACGGUCCAAACUCCUACGGGAGGCAGCAGUGAGGAAUAUUGGUCAAUGGACGAGAGUCUGAACCAGCCAAGUAAGCGUGCAGGACGACGGCCCUAUGGGUUGUAAACUGCUUUUAUGCGGGGAUAAAGUGAGGGACGUGUCCCUUUUUGUAGGUACCGCAUGAAUAAGGACCGGCUAAUUCCGUGCCAGCAGCGGC
rnacentral:rRNA from 1 species